rnacentral:lncRNA from 1 species
GCUCAGUGUUAUGGAGCUUUGGGAGGAACUGUGGUCCUCCAGCUGAUGGACAACGCCUCAGAAAUAUUUAGAUACACAUGGUCAAGAAAAACAACAAAAAUAGUCAGUGGAAGAAAGAAUAUGAUUAUGUUUAAUGAGAUAGAAAACAGAUCCUUCUUUACUCCCAGUGAUGGAACAUUUAGGAUCAACAACCUGAGCUGGACUGAUGGAGGUGAAUAUAAACUUGAAAUCUUUGAUUCAGAUGGAAAGAUAUCAGAGCAGCGGACUCUACAGUUGACCAUUCAAGCUCCUGUGUCCUCUGUCCUGCUGGUCUCUGAGUGUCUGUCCCAGGGAGAGAUGAGGGUGUCCUGCUCCUCUGAGGGAGGAGACAGUCCUCAGUACAGCUGGACUCUGGAUGGACGCACACUGACAGACGCUGAGCUCCUCUCUGGAAAUACUGAGACUGACAGCAUCACUCUGAAACAAAAUGUCUCAGGACGACUGGUCUGCUCAGUCAGGAAUCAAGUCAGUAAUGUCUCAGAAGAAAAGACAAUAUCUACAUGUGGCGUCAUACUCAUUAACUGCACCUUAACCAAUGCAACUGACAUGUCCCAGUGGGUGUUUGUAGCCAAUAACAAUCUUUGUAUUGAGCCAACAACUACUCCUACCACUGUUGAUCACUCCGGUGUGCGAGCAGCUGUGGCGAUUCUUGCAUUAAUUGGGAUAGUCGUCUACUUUGCUUGGAAGGAAAAGAAAUACAAGAUGGCUGAAAGUUCCGCCGUCCAUCAAAAGAUGGAACAUCAAGAGAACUCUGUUGUGAUGGUUGUAAUGAGAAGUUCUGCAUCUGAACUUUAACUUUGUGAAACCAACACCUUAGUGUCUCUUUCACCUGCUGUGAUUGGCCAUGUGGGUGUGGAAAUAGGGCUUACAGUGGGAGUUCUCUUCUCUUUUUAUUCUUCUCAAAUUCACUUCUGUGUCCACAGCUUAGCAGCUCACUAUGAAUACCUUCUUAUAAAAAAGGUCUGUGUUUUCUGCAAAAAAAAUUUUUUUUAUCACUGUGGAAACUCUAAUUGAAAAAAGGUUAUGAAAUGUAACUCUAGUUCUAUGUUAAGAAGUGGAGUCAUCUGUAAUUUCCAUAUAAAUUAUGUUCACCAUACCAUAAAUCAUUAGACCCGGUGACAGGCAUGAAGAAUAACUGUAUAGAAAAAGCCAAUCUUCUUGCUGAUGGUCUUGCUUGCUCAAUAUAGGUCAUAUAGAGGUAUCAGUGUUAAAUUGUGACUGUUUCAUAACCAGUUUAAAACUCCUUAUAGUUGCUUUAAAUAUUUUAGGCCAUUUGUCUUUAAUCAAGAGUUGCCAGUGGAGGGCCACAGAGUCUAAACAGACCAGACA